rnacentral:rRNA from 1 species
AACGCUAGCUACAGGCUUAACACAUGCAAGUCGAGGGGCAGCAUUAGGUAGCAAUACUGAGAUGGCGACCGGCGCACGGGUGCGUAACGCGUAUCCAACCUUCCCGUUACUCUUGGAUAGCCUUCCGAAAGGGAGAUUAAUACAAGAUGGUGUUCAAAUUCCGCAUGUUAUUUGAACUAAAGAUUUAUCGGUAACGGAUGGGGAUGCGUGACAUUAGGUAGAUGGCGGGGUAACGGCCCACCAUGCCUACGAUGUCUAGGGGUUCUGAGAGGAAGGUCCCCCACACUGGAACUGAGACACGGUCCAGACUCCUACGGGAGGCAGCAGUGAGGAAUAUUGGUCAAUGGCCGGAAGGCUGAACCAGCCAAGUAGCGUGAAGGAUGAAGGUUCUAUGGAUUGUAAACUUCUUUUAUACGGGAAUAAAACCACCUACGUGUAGGUGCUUGUAUGUACCGUAUGAAUAAGCAUCGGCUAACUCCGUGCCAGCAGCCGCGGUAAUACGGAGGAUGCGAGCGUUAUCCGGAUUUAUUGGGCUUAAAGGGAGCGUAGACGGGAGAUUAAGUCAGUUGUGAAAGGCUGCGGCUCAACCGCAGCACUGCAGUUGAUACUGGUUUCCUUGAGUGCGGAUGAGGUGGAUGGAAUUCGUGGUGUAGCGGUGAAAUGCUUAGAUAUCACGAAGAACUCCGAUUGCGAAGGCAGUUCACUGGGCCGCAACUGACGCUGAAGCUCGAAAGUGUGGGAAUCAAACAGGAUUAGAUACCCUGGUAGUCCACACCGUAAACGAUGGAUACUCGCUGCUGGCGAUACACAGUCAGUGGCCACGCGAAAGCAUUAAGUAUUCCACCUGGGGAGUACGCCGGCAACGGUGAAACUCAAAGGAAUUGACGGGGGCCCGCACAAGCGGAGGAACAUGUGGUUUAAUUCGAUGAUACGCGAGGAACCUUACCCGGGCUUAAAUUGCGCUGGACAGAUUGGGAGACCAAUUCUUCUUCGGACCAGUGUGAAAGUGCUGCAUGGUUGUCGUCAGCUCGUGCCGUGAGGUGUCGGCUUAAGUGC